UACAGAGGGUGCAAGCGUUGUCCGGAAUCACUGGGCGUAAAGGGCGCGUAGGUGGCCUGAUAAGUAGGAGGUGAAAUCCUGGGGCUUAACCUCAGGGCUGCCUUCUAGACUGUCCGGCUCGAGCACAGUAGAGGCAGGUGGAAUUCCCGGUGUAGCGGUGGAAUGCGUAGAGAUCGGGAAGAACAUCGGUGGCGAAGGCGGCCUGCUGGGCUGUUGCUGACACUGAGGCGCGACAGCGUGGGGAGCAAACGGG
rnacentral:rRNA from 1 species